ACGCUGUGUCUGCGUCUGGUGACAUUUCUCUGUUUUCAGGAACAGGGAUUAGUUCUAGAAACUUCACUCGACUGUCGAACCUCGAACCUAUCUCAAGUAUUUCAUGUUAUUCGUUAAGUUGUUGCCUGUUGAUAAGCAUUGAGAGAUCUAAUAAGAUCGGUAGUAAACAAGUGGAAAAAUUUUGUAUUUAAAAAUGUUGGAAAUUACAUGUAAUGACAGGCUGGGUAAAAAAGUUAGGCCCAGACAGGAACAAGAUGGGACAAAAUUGUUUUGAAGAAGUGGUACACGACAUUCAAAGAUCACAUUCAACUUCAGGACUAUGAAAUUCAUGAUGGCAUGAAUAUCGAGUUAUAUUACCAAUAGGGAUAAUAGUUAAAAAUAAAUCUGAACCUGUAAUUAUUAAUUGUUUAUUUUGUAUUUAAAGAAUUCUUUCUGAUAUGGAAUUUAUGACAUAAUAAUAGAUAUCAUUAAGUUUGAA